rnacentral:tRNA from 1 species
GCAUUGGUGGUUACAUGGCAGAAUUCUCACCUUACAAGCGGGAGACCUGGGUUCGAGUCCUAGCCAAUGCA